GGGAAGUGAUGAGUGAUAAAAACUCGCAAAUAAAAAUGCGACAAGGGUGUCUGCUCCGCCUGUUUUACGACAAUUUGGCGCUCUCAUCUAUACCUUUCUGAUCCC